GGAGGGGUGGCAGAGCGGUCGAAUGCGGCGGUCUUGAAAACCGCUUGGGCUUCACGGCCCACCUGGGUUCGAAUCCCAGUCCCUCCG
rnacentral:tRNA from 1 species